GAUGAACGCUGGCGGCGUGCUUAACACAUGCAAGUCGAACGGAAAGGCCCAAGCUUGCUUGGGUACUCGAGUGGCGAACGGGUGAGUAACACGUGGGUGAUCUGCCCCGCACUUCGGGAUAAGCCUGGGUAACUGGGUUUAAUACCGGAUAGUACAGUGGCUUGGAUGCCAUUGUGGACAGUCUUUUCGGUGUGGGAUGAGCUCGCGGCCUAUCAGCUUGUUGGUGGGGUAAUGGCCUACCAAGGCGUCGACGGGUAGCCGGCCUGAGAGGGUGUACGGCCACAUUGGGACUGAGAUACGGCCCAGACUCCGACGGGAGGCAGCAGUGGGGAAUAUUGCACAAUGGGCGCAAGCCUGAUGCAGCGACGCCGCGUGGGGGAUGACGGCCUUCGGGUUGUAAACUCCUUUCGCUAGGGACGAAGCGUUAUGUGACGGUACCUAGAGAAGAAGCACCGGCUAACUACGUG
rnacentral:rRNA from 1 species